GUAACUGCGAGUGAACUGGAAUUAGCCCAUCACGAAAUCUAUAUUAUAAUAAUAAUAUCGAAAUGUCGUGUAUAGGUUUUAUUAUUAUUAAUAAAUUAUUAUUAAAUAAUUGUAUUUAAAUAUACAGCCACAGAAGGUGCCAGCCCUGUUAUUUAAUAAUAUUUAUUAAAUUUAUAAAACUUUAGAGUCGUGUUGCUUGGAAGUGCAGCACAAAGUUGGUGAUAAACAUCAUCUAAGGCUAAAUAUUCCUAUGAAUCCGAUAGCGAACAAGUACUGUGAAGGAAAAUUGCAAAGUACUCCGGAGAGAGAGUUAAAGAGGACGUGAAACCGAUACGAUGGAAGCAUACAGAGCCAGUUGCACUAUUAUUAAUAUUUUUUUAUUAAUAAUUUUAAGCAUGGGUAUAUUGAUUAUUAAUUAGUUAUUUAUUAAAGAGUGAUAAAAUUUUUUAAAUUUUGUUAACUUUAAUAAAAUAAUUAUAUUUAUAAUUAAUAUUAUAUAUUAUUAAUGUAUUAAUAAUAUUUUAAUUAUUAAUAUAAUAUAAGACACAUGUGUUAAAUAUUAUUUAUUAAUAAUUAUUAUAUUAUUAUAAAUUAAUAAACCUAUGUAAUCCUGGUAUGCUGUAUGUCCCGUCUUGAAACACGGACCAAGGAGUGUAUUACUAUGGCAAGUCAUUGAUAUUAUUAAUAUCAAAGGCAUAAUGAAAAUAAUUUUAAUCUCAGAUCUUUUGAUUAUAUUAUCAUUAGCGCAUGAGAAACGUAAAUAUAUGAUUUAUUCAUUUUUUGCAGUUAUAGCCAUAGUAGUGCGACCCGAAAGAUGGUGAACUAUACUAGUGCAGGGUGAAGUCAGAAGAAAUUCUGAUGGAAGCUCGAAGCGGUCCUGACGUGCAAAUCGGUCGUCUGACAUUAGUAUAGGGGCCGAAAGACUAAU
rnacentral:rRNA from 1 species